ensembl:snRNA U6 U6 spliceosomal RNA
GGGACUCACUUUGGUGGCACAUAUAUCAAAACUGGAACAGUAGAGAGAUUAGCAUGGUCCCUGCACAAAGAGGACACAGGAAUUCAAGAAGUGCUCCACACUGUU